rnacentral:rRNA from 1 species
UAGCUAGUUGGUGGGGUAAGGGCCUACCAAGGCGACGAUCGGUAGCUGGUCUGAGAGGAUGGCCAGCCACACUGGAACUGAGACACGGUCCAGACUCCUACGGGAGGCAGCAGUGGGGAAUAUUGGACAAUGGGGGCAACCCUGAUCCAGCAAUGCCGCGUGUGUGAAGAAGGCCUGAGGGUUGUAAAGCACUUUCAGUGGGGAGGAGGGUAUUUAGGUUAAGAGCUAGGAUACUGGACGUUACCCACAGAAGAAGCAUCGGCUAACUCCGUGCCAGCAGCCGCGGUAAUACGGAGGGUGCGAGCGUUAAUCGGAAUUACUGGGCGUAAAGGGUGCGUAGGUGGUUAUUUAAGUUAUGUGUAAAAUCCCUGGGCUUAACCUGGGCAGGUCAUAUAAAACUGAGUAACUCGAGUACGGGAGAGGGUAGUGGAAUUUCCGGUGUAGCGGUGAAAUGCGUAGAGAUCGGAAGGAACACCAGUGGCGAAGGCGGCUACCUGGCCCAAUACUGACACUGAGGCACGAAAGCGUGGGGAGCAAACAGGAUCAGAUACCCUGGUAGUCCACGCUGUAAACGAUGUCAACUAGCUGUUGGUUAUAUGAAUAUAAUUAGUGGCGC